AGUAAGGCUGGCUACAAUUGGCUCUUGGAGACGCAGUCCGCUACAGCGGCUCUCUCCCGUCGCCGGGUGAUCGCCAUCUUGACUUCGUCGUUUCUGUGAAGUUAGCGGUGGGUUUCGCCUCCGUAACUCGAUGAGGCCUCAGGAUGCAAGGGGAGAAGUGCUAUGACUUCUAUAUCAAGCCUAUCAAGGACUCGUAUACUAUCAGUGACUGUCCACCAGGGACAAUUAAUGGCCUGCCCCUCAAUAUGACUGAUCCUGCUAACUGAGAAAUGCCUGUGAUUUUGCAUUGAUCCAUGGGUAGGAAUGUCAAAACCAGACUUACUGGGAAAACUGGAAGAUUGGCUACAUCAGAUUGAAAAGGCUCUUUUAAAACCAUUUCAGAAGGUAGACAUCUUGAAAGGAUAUACUAUCCCCAGAUUGAUCUAUUUGGCAGACCAGGCUGGUGUGGAAGCCAUGGACCUUGAGUCUUGAUUUGGCAUUUAGAUCUGCCAUCAUGAACUGGUUGCAUUUGCCUUCAAGUAUAUCUGAUGCCAUCCUUUAUUUCAGCACAAGAGAUGGUGGCCUAGGUAUUACCAGACUGUCAAGACUAAUCCCCAGUAUAUAAGCUUGAAGACUGUACAGGAUCACACAAUCUUCAGAUGAAACAAUGAGAGUAAUUAUAAGGGAAGAGGAAAUUUAGAGAGAAUUUCAAAAACUAUGGAUAACAGCAGGUGGUGACAAAGUUCCAUCACUUUGGGACCCAAAAACAGUUAUGGUAAGGAUAGGGAAGAUGUGUGCUAAUGUCUUUACAAAAAAUUUGAUGGGUGAGGGUAUGGGUGUUAACAUCUUUGAAACAGGUCUUAAUGUCUCUACUACAAGCAGCAGGUUUGUUACAGAGCCCAGACAGCUUGGCUCCUGAAACAGCCAAGUGGGUCUGCACAGGCCUGAACUUCUGAAGUUAGGGGUAAAAUGACAGGUUCAAGGGGGAAUAUGUGGUAGGCGGUUUGGGUAGGCUUCCUAGUACCUCAGCCAAUGGGGAAAGGAAGAGGGCAACAUGCUGCCAGGAGUUUAGGAUAAUGGAGGCUGUGUCCUCCAAAACCUCAAGAGAGAAAACCCUGCAGACAUGUGCCCCAGUGGACUCUCUCUAUUUAUCUGAAUUAAGUUUCAGGGCUCUUCUGUCUCCUUUAUGGAUAUUGCUUUUUCAUAGUGUGAUUUUCCACACAAGAUGGGAGCUCAUCUGGUAUCCUUCCAACAUCUAGGGCCAGCACAUGGCAAGAGGAGCUGGAGGUGCGCCUCACCCAGUUUCGGUGACCAGCUCCCUUCGACACUGGCCAGCACUGGGCGAUUGAUGGGGUACCUGAGACAGUCCAGCAGACAGACGAGAGGCAGACCAGGGGACUUAAUGAAGAGUCCACAGGAAAGGACUACUAGAAAUCUCAACCAGGGAGUAAAACAUGGCAGGAUGCCUGGAGGGGCAGUAAAGUUGAGAAAGGGUCUCAACUAUAGAGAUGAGGAUACCAAAAUACCUUCAAAGGGUCCUUUGGGAGAAUGUUGAGAUGGUUUGCACAUUCUCCCAGAGGCAGUUAAGGACAUGGAUGCCCAGAAGGGGCAAUAAGGGCAGUCAGGAAGGAAUCUUGGAAAAGUAUUGGCUGAAGGAGAAUGUGGAGGAAUAUGGUUAAGGCAAAUAGCAAUGGGAAACUGUAUGAUAAGGAAAGAGAAACAGAAAACUGGUAUGUUCUCUGCCUUAUCUUGAAAGUCUCCAGUCUAAUACAGGGCCGGCUUCAAGUCUUAUGUACUCCCAGCUUCUAGGAUAGGGAAAACAGAGAGGUAUUGCUCCUACACCCCCACCCUUCUUUGGGUCAUUAUGAAGCCAGGGUGGAGGAUUUGGGUUUGUCCACCAGCUACUCAGGACUUGAGGGGAUUUCUCUAUGGUGAGGAGUGCCGAGGCCAGGUGCGAGAGAGCAGGACCGGUGGCACAGGCUGGGGACCGGUGGGGAGGUGCAGGACCAAGCUGGGGCUGUGGGGCAGCCGUGGGCUCAACACUGGGCAGUGCCCAAUGCCACCACCCCCGCGAGGCAGGGGCUGCAGUGGCCCCCAGCCCCCAUGAGAUUCCGGGACAUCCCGUCACUUGCCAGUCCCUGUGACGCUGCCGGCUGUGCCCUCCCGCUGAGCUGCGCCAGCAUCUGGUGCUUUACAGUUUGUGGUGCUGGGAGUGCCCGGCCCGGGGACCUGGAUGGGGUGGGGAGGGGGGGUGGAUCUGGACACUCCGACAGGACAAGGACCGACUUUGGUGUACGGUGUAAGAUACAGGGACUGGCUUUGAUUUAAGAUACGAUGUGCCACCAAAGCCUGGCCCUAUAUAAGAAGGGAUUUUGUUUGGAUCACCAGGGAGGCAAAUGAUUUUGCAGAGUUUGGCGGUUGUGGAAGGGUGAGAGCUCACACGCAGCCGGAGCAGGGGCUGGAGAGGUGGCAGUGAGCCCUUGCAGGAGUUGGUUAGAAAGGCACAUCAGGUAUAUGAAAGAAAGGAUGAGGAAAAGGUACAGACAAGGAUAAUAGCAGUUUUUACAACCUCCAACUGAAAAAAGUACAGAGAGCCCCAGGACAAAAGGGAAGGGGGUGGCCACCAGGACAGUGAUUGGGAAGGAAUCAAUGUGCGAUUUGUAAAAAAAAAACCAAAAGGAGAACAUUAGAUCUCCUAAUGUACCGGGGACUCACCACACUGGAGCCCUUACGAAAGGGGAUUCUUUUGAUAAUUCUGGGAGUAAGUGGGAAAGAUGAGCCUGUGUGCUUUAUUCAACCACUACUGGUGAAUGCGUGAGAUGAGUUUGAAAGGCAUGAGUUUCUGUUCCUGGUUGUGAUUGUGAUUUGCUAGGAGGGGAUUUGAUGACUGAGUUGGGAAUGCAAGUUAGUGUUUAAAAUGGAGUUCACUCCUUAGAAUUUUGAAAAGUUUAAUAAUAAUAGUGAAAUAGACAUUUUUGGAUUUUACUUGAAUUAGCAAUAUGAUUUGAGCAUUUAAAGUUUAGCCUGUAGAACUAUGUGUUGAAUUUUAACCUUAUUACUUAAGAAACCUCUGCCAUGGUACAAAGGGCAUAGGAAAAUGCAAAUUUCUGAAGCUUCUUGCAUAAAGAACAAUACCAGAGGAGACCAAGAGAUACAAAAAGCCCAGAUAAAGGAACUCCUCUGUCUCCAAGCUAAUCAAGGCCGACAGACUACUCAGAUAAGCACCAAGGGACCAAAAGCGCAUGUGCAAAGGAGAAAAGUUCAAAAGUUCAGUCAUGAGGAAGACCACAAUCUUCAGCCUCAGAGACCACCAGAGACCGCCCACCCCCCGUGCAACCACCACAGCAAACAAUGCAUGCCCAGAAGGGCGUGGAUCUGAUUACUAUACGAGGCGAGAACAGGUAGGGCCAGGGGUUGAAUAUGCAUGGAAAAGUUAUGCAAUGUAUUGCAUAUGGAAUACCUUUGUGAAUAAAGAUGUGGGACAGCUGG